rnacentral:lncRNA from 1 species
AGAUCUUUUCCUCUGUUGAGCUCGACCCUGAAGGGCCAGGUCCCUCCUCUCCUGGUGAGGCUGGCCCCUUCCAGGGACCUCCCUAGGUGCUGGCUUCCAGCCCAGCCAAACUUGUCAACCAGUAUCCCGGUGCAGGAGCUGCACAUACUAGCCCCUGUCUAGGAAAAGCUGUCCUGCGACGCCCUCUGGAGGAAGCAGGGCUUCCUUUCCUCUGCCAUCAAAUACUUUUUAGAAAACUCAUGAACCGUUCUGAUUCCUGGAGAUGCCUUGGUGCGCAUGACCAUAUAAUCCUUCUUUGAAGGUGAGGGCUGG